UACAGAGGGUGCAAGCGUUUUUCGGAAUUAUUGGGCGUAAAGCGCGUGUAGGCGGCCGCUUAAGUCUGGUGUGAAAGCCCGGGGCUUAACCCCGGAAAUGCACCGGAUACUGGGCAGCUAGAGGACGAGAGAGGAUAGUGGAAUUCCUGGUGUAGGGGUGAAAUCCGUAGAUAUCAGGGGGAACAUCUGUGGCGAAGGCGGCUAUCUGGCUCGUUUCUGACGCUGAGACGCGAAAGCGUGGGGAGCAAACAGG
rnacentral:rRNA from 1 species